GCCUUCCUGGUGUGCUGCCUGAGGAAGCUCCUGUCCAACAUUUGGGGAGAACAGAGAGAGCAUUUUUCCAUUUUUCCUUAAGACUGAGAACUUCUGGGAAGGCCACGCGGGUAAUGAUUGCUAUCUGCUGCUACUGUUUUGGUCCACACCAAGAGAUGCAGAGGGACAGAUGGUAUUGGACUAAGAGGAUUGUAUGGAGUGAAUGUUCAGGGAGUUCUAGAACCUCUGGUGUGAGGGCUGCUCAUCUACCUUUGGUGUCCACCUGUGGCUUCAAGAAGCUGUAGCAUGCACAGCGGCCACACCCCACUAAAACUGUCUCAGCUAAACCAGCUUGCGGGUGACCAAUGACCACAAACCCACCAGUGACUUGGGGGGGGUGGUCUACCCCAAGCAUGUGAGGACUUCUUCUGGUGGAAUUGGUGGAUGAGAACAAUUUGUUCCCAUGACCAUGAAAGCUGCUGAAGUCGUCUUGACUUUUGUCUUGCUCCUGGACUUUGUCGACUCUGGGGGAGAGAGUGAAGCUGGUGACUUUGUGUAACUCUUCCUCAUUUAAAUACAACUCACAAAUGAGUCAAGACAUCACCUGUGAUGUUAUUGGUCCUCUUUGAGAAGGAAGGACAAAUACCACUAGAUUAGGAGCCAUAAGCAGUCAACCAAAGAUCAUCGUGUAUAGAGCAAUGAAUGGAUCCAGGCCCUGAGUCAGGGUGAAACCAGAAGUUGCUAUAGAAGCAGCCACAUUUCAGGCAGAAGCUGGAAGGAGAGAGAUGAAUAUCUGAUUCUUCAUACUACAGUUACUGCCUUGGGGUGUGAGGCAGGGAUGUGGUGUAAAUGCUGAAUAACUGGCUAUCCAAAAAGAAAAAAAAAUGUA